GAUGAACGCUGGCGGCGUGCCUAAUACAUGCAAGUCGAGCGAACAGACGAGGAGCUUGCUCCUCUGACGUUAGCGGCGGACGGGUGAGUAACACGUGGAUAACCUACCUAUAAGACUGGGAUAACUUCGGGAAACCGGAGCUAAUACCGGAUAAUAUAUUGAACCGCAUGGUUCAAUAGUUAAAGACGGUUUUGCUGUCACUUAUAGAUGGAUCCGCGCCGCAUUAGCUAGUUGGUAAGGUAACGGCUUACCAAGGCAACGAUGCGUAGCCGACCUGAGAGGGUGAUCGGCCACACUGGAACUGAGACACGGUCCAGACUCCUACGGGAGGCAGCAGUAGGGAAUCUUCCGCAAUGGGCGAAAGCCUGACGGAGCAACGCCGCGUGAGUGAUGAAGGUCUUCGGAUCGUAAAACUCUGUUAUUAGGGAAGAAAAAAUGUGUAAGUAACUAUGCACGUCUUGACGGUACCUAAUCAGAAAGCCACGGCUAACUACGUG
rnacentral:rRNA from 1 species